rnacentral:rRNA from 1 species
CGGCUCUAUGGAAUGUAGAUGACAAGAGGCGCGAAAGCGUGGGAGCGAGCAGGAUUAGAUACCCUGGUAGUCCGCGCAGUAAACGAUGAGUACUAGGUGUUGCGGGUAUCGACCCCCGCAGUGCCGUAGUUAACACAAUAAGCACUCCGCCUGGGGAGUACGGUCGCAAGACUGAAACUCAGAGGAAUUGACGGGGGCCCGCACAAGCGGUGGAGUAUGUGGUUUAAUUCGACGCAACGCGAAGAACCUUACCAGGGCUUGACAUCCUCUGAAAGCCAUAGAGAUAUGGACCUUACCCUUCGGGGUAACAGAGAGACAGGUGGUGCAUGGUUGUCGUCAGCUCGUGUCGUGAGAUGUUGGGUUAAGUCCCGCAACGAGCGCAACCCCUAACAUUAGUUGCCAGCGAGUAAGGUCGGGAACUCUAAUGUGACUGCCGUUGACAAAACGGAGGAAGGUGGGGAUGACGUCAAAUCAUCAUGCCCCUUAUGUCCUGGGCUACACACGUACUACAAUGGCCGGUACAGACGGAAGCAAAGCCGUGAGGCGGAGCAAAUCUGAGAAAGUCGGUCCCAGUUCGGAUUGUAGUCUGCAACUCGAUACAUGAAGUCGGAAUCGCUAGUAAUCGCAGGUCAGCAUACUGCGGUGAAUACGUUCCCGGGCCUUGUAAAACCAGCCCAGUC